rnacentral:lncRNA from 1 species
AGCAGCAGACAUCCAACAGGAUGAAAAUAACAGUUGUCAUGAAGUGCAUAUAGCUGUCAAAGGAGGAUAUUGCUCAUAACAUUUCCAACAUUAUAAGCCAAUAUGGAUUAGAGUUAAACUAGUGUAUACACUUCCAGAUUGUACAAUCAACAUGACCGUCACAGAAAAACAUCAUAUUUAAACUGAGAACCCCGAAAAAUGGACACGUACAGGAAUGUUAUGGUUUGUUGUUUUUGGAAAAUUAUGAGACAGAGGAAAAGAAAAGAAAGGGACAUGGGAGGAGUGGAAUAGUCAAGGUGCUUAAAAGCUUGUCUGAACAGCACUAUUAACAAAAUUAAAAAAGAAAAGGAAAUGAGAGAAAGCAACUCAAAGGUUCUAUUGGUAAGAGGCAACAAAAAGGUACUCUGCAAUCUAAGAUUUUUCCUCUGCCCAUAGAAAGAAAUACAACUUCUUUUAGUGACCCCAUUUGUAUCGAGGAAAUAAUGUGUACUAUGUUCAUUAAGAUCAAAUGGUACUGAUUCACUUCUUCUGUACUAUACUAAACAAAAUGGUAAAACUCUUCUUUUUCAAUCCUGUCUUCUUCUCUCUUUCUUUUUUUAUGGUUUUUUUCUGGCUUCUCUUAAUACAAUGAUAAGAGAAAACAAGCACUUUGCAGCUAAGGUCCACAAAGCUCAGGAUCCUCUUCUUCAAAGCACCAUUGAUUUUCAAACUCAUUUAAUUCCACUCUGCUAUAAGUUCAGUUGAUCUGUGGUAAUCAUGGGCAGGAGUGGCCACUGGGAUCAGAAGCAGAUUUAGAAUUUGAACUCAAUGGGGUCCAAUUUUUAAAGUUCUUAGCAUUGAACCUAUUAUAUUUUUAAUAUUAUGGGUUCAGACCUUACUAUUUAUUUCAAUUUUACUAAAUAUUUACACAUAAAGUUACACUCCACAUCAAAAGUACUUGGUUCAGAUGAACCUGGUGUUAUAAGUCUGGUAAAAAACUGCCGAGGUCUCAGGGUGCAUUAGUUAUUGAAAGUUUUCCAUGAGAAAAAUUUAAGCGACCAUUUUUCCAUGUGAUAAUUUUCAGUGUUUAGAGGUAUAAAAGUAGGCCCAAAUGAUAAUCGUUCAAGGUGGAGGUUUCUUUUUCUAUGUGAUCAUUUUCAAUGUUUAGAGGUAUAAAAGUAGGCCCAAAUGAUAAUCGUUCAACGUGGAGGCUUCUUUUUGGAGAUAUAUUGGUGAAACAUAAAAGUUGAUAACAAUAUAUGAAUGUUGGUUCAAACAGGGGAGUAAGGUAGGAUUAUUUGCA